UAUGAUCUAGUUAUGCAUCUGAAUGCUUCUUGGCCAGCCUGUAAAAUCAACAGAUCAAAAGUAUGAGAAGGAGAGGAGGCAAUUCCAAGCAUAUAAUUGCAUUCCAGAUCUUAGUUAGGUCUCCACCCACAGGUUUGUUGAUCAUGCAAUACCAAGAUUUAACAUGUAAAUUUGUAAAUAAAAAACACAAUCGGGUAGAAAUCAUGCACGUUAUACCGAUCAGGCCAUUAAUCAUAUAUAUUGCCACGGUGUGGCACGAGAAAACAAGGUAGCUACCUCAACAGUUCAACCAAGCCAUUAGCAUAUAUAUCUUUGUGAUAUUGUGAUAUUUUUUUCAUAAUUAUAAAGUAGACACGCGCACGCACCACUACUCACACAUCAUACUAUAUCCACAAAUUCACCCCAAGCACACGCUCAAAUUAAGAGACAUGAUAUUUUAGAUUGAUGUACAUUGGGAAUACAAUUUGGUGGAUUAAUAUUUAUUUAUGGGUAAAUAUAUUACUUUAGGAAUUGAGUGCUAAAGAUGCACUGUAGCAGCCACAUAAAUUUGCAAGCGGGAUUUUAAAAAAUAAUAAUAAUAAAGCUUAUUUUUAAAUCUAAGCCUUCUAAUUGACUACGAUAAUAAAAGGUCAUGGCGUGGUAGAAAAUUAAUAUUGUAGCUAAAAUAUUUAGAUUUGGAAAUAAGUUUUCGGAUGAUUGUUUUUAAAAUGAAAAAAGCGAGCUGGUACACCUUUUACGAAUGGCAGAAGCAUCGGCAUAAUUCGCCAAACCGAAAUAAGUUAUGACUAAAUAAGCCAAAACUCAUCACUAGCUACACGAUUGAAAGGUCAAAUUGGUACUAUGUCCACUUCGAUCGAGAGAGUAUAACAUCACCAAAUCAUGGGCUUUUUAAUAGCGCAAAAACUGUCGCAGGAACCGAACAACAAUAUAUAGAAUUUCAAGCAGAAGAAUAUCGACCGAGGGCUAGCUAGCACGCACUACUGACCGUGUCCCAGAUCUGGAGCUUAGUGUUUUUGCCGUCGACGGCGACGACGCACGCGCCGUACUCGACGCCGGUGGUGAGAUCUUCCACCUCCCGGAACCUCUUGUCCGUGAACUGCAGCAGCAGGCACGAUUUCCCCACGCCUGCAACCAAACGAACCAACACAACACGCGUCUUCCAGUAUGAGCUACCGAUCGAUAACCAAUCGAUUGAGUGUGGAGAUGCGCCCCCGCCGGUGGCGAGUUGAUCGAUCGACACGGAUCGAGCGAAGCUGACCUGCGUCGCCGAUGGUGACAAACUUGAAGCGGUAUGCGUACGUGCACGACAUCCUCGAUCCCAGCUGUGUCGCGUGACAAUCGAGGGAGCUAGCUAGCUAUCACCGGUGUUCUCUUUCUUUUCUCUUUUUCUUGCUUCCGUUUUUGCUUGAACUGCUAGGGUUUAUAGAGAGAUUAAUAUCAGAGCCUUCGACGAAGUGCAAUAGCAGUUGUUGGCGUUGAUUAAUAGGAGUUGGAGACGAUCCCGUCCCGCACAGUGGCCGCCGAACAAAGGCCAGUC
rnacentral:sRNA from 1 species